rnacentral:rRNA from 1 species
GUGACAUACCUAUAACUGUUGCUUCGGCGGGUAGGGUCUCCGCGACCCUCCCGGCCUCCCGCCUCCGGGCGGGUCGGCGCCCGCCGGAGGAUAACCAAACUCUGAUUUAACGACGUUUCUUCUGAGUGGUACAAGCAAAUAAUCAAAACUUUUAACAACGGAUCUCUUGGUUCUGGCAUCGAUGAAGAACGCAGCGAAAUGCGAUAAGUAAUGUGAAUUGCAGAAUUCAGUGAAUCAUCGAAUCUUUGAACGCACAUUGCGCCCGCCAGCAUUCUGGCGGGCAUGCCUGUUCGAGCGUCAUUUCAACCCUCAAGCUCUGCUUGGUGUUGGGGCCCUACAGCCGAUGUAGGCCCUCAAAGGUAGUGGCGGACCCUCCCGGAGCCUCCUUUGCGUAGUAACUUUACGUCUCGCACUGGGAUCCGGAGGGACUCUUGCCGUAAAACCCCCCAAUUUUCCAAAGGUUGACCUCGGAUCAGGUAGGAAUACCCGCUGAACUUAAGCAUAUCAAUA